AUUUAAAUAGCUUAUAUUUAAAGUAUAAUAGUGAAGAUAUUAUGAUAAUAAUUUAUAUUUUUAAAUA
rnacentral:tRNA from 1 species